GAGAAGCCCAGGUGUAACUGAUUACAUUAUGUUGCUGUAGCCGCCUAUCUGAAUGGUCGGAGUUGUGACGCCUCCUCUGGUUUUCCUCUGUUCCACUAACUUCUAACCUGUUGUCUCUCUGCAUUUCAAGAAACCAGGCAAAGAUAGGACCACACCUCAGCCUCGCUCACUGUUGAUGAAGAGGUCAGGUUGGACACAAGCGCUAAGCAAGACAUGGGCCUGAAGCAGCAGAGAAUCAUGACGUGAAUCUCUAAAAAGAAAGCACACAGAGCAGUUGCCUUAAAUAUGGACUAUUCUGCUGAAUGUACUGGCCGUCUGACGCUCGCUCCUCUGCCUGCAUCUUGGACUACUAGCAGGGGGUCCUUCUCUCUGCAGGGGUUGUGAGGAGCCAAAGCAGACACUGAACCGGCAGCCUUAUAAUUCCCUCCACGUUCCUCUGAUUCCCAGCCACUCGCCGAUCAAUAGCAGUCUUUGAGCAAAGCAGAGGCCCUAUUGUGACUGCAUUCACCAGGGCCGGGCUGUGGCCGCCGUUGGUGCAGCUAAACCAUGACGGAUUCAUCCUGGCCUGGUUCUCCCAUUAGUCAGCCACCACGGGUGAAAACACAGACCUGAGGUCCCCUAAUGGGAAUUUAAUGCACUUCAACGUACCUGCAGCCAAAUAGAAAGAAAACGGCCGCUGUUUUUCCCUCCACAGAUGAUGACUCACAGUGGAUAUUAGAUCUCCGCAGCCAGCGAGGCCGACACGUAUCAUAAGCAGAGUCUCUUUGUGUGCAGAAGCGGCUCUAAAUUGGAAUCGGGGCAUUGAGUGCACCUCUGUGCCACUGCUAGGUAUACGGCUUAGUGGAUGGAUCGUUUCUUUUACUGAGAGGGAAGUGUGUGUUUAAUGUGGAAAGGGAAGAGUGUCUAUGUGUGUGUGUGUGUGUGUGUGUGUGUGUGUGUGUGUGUGCAUGCCCUCCUUAACCUUGUGUGUUCACAGGUAAAAGUCCGUCCUUGUGUUUGUUUACCACUCAGUUAUGCAAGCCGGUCCUCUGUUGCUUCCUAUCAGACGAAACUGAUUCUGUGUGGCACAAAUAAACCUUUUCA